rnacentral:rRNA from 1 species
UACGGAGGGUGCAAGCGUUAAUCGGAAUUACUGGGCGUAAAGCGCGCGUAGGUGGCUUGAUAAGCCGGUUGUGAAAGCCCCGGGCUCAACCUGGGAACGGCAUCCGGAACUGUCAGGCUAGAGUGCAGGAGAGGAAGGUAGAAUUCCCGGUGUAGCGGUGAAAUGCGUAGAGAUCGGGAGGAAUACCAGUGGCGAAGGCGGCCUUCUGGCUGAUAACUGACGCUGAGGUGCGAGAGCGUGGGGAGCAAACAGG